rnacentral:rRNA from 1 species
CCCCCCUCUUGCUGCGUGCUUCACACAUGCAAGUCGAACGGAAAGGCCCUGCUUUUGUGGGGUGCUCGAGUGGCGAACGGGUGAGUAACACGUGAGUAACCUGCCCUUGACUUUGGGAUAACUUCAGGAAGCUGGGGCUAAUACCGGAUAGGAGCUCCUGCUGCAUGGUGGGGGUUGGAAAGUUUCGGCGGUUGGGGAUGGACUCGCGGCUUAUCAGCUUGUUGGUGGGGUAGUGGCUUACCAAGGCUUUGACGGGUAGCCGGCCUGAGAGGGUGACCGGCCACAUUGGGACUGAGAUACGGCCCAGACUCCUACGGGAGGCAGCAGUGGGGAAUAUUGCACAAUGGGCGGAAGCCUGAUGCAGCAACGCCGCGUGCGGGAUGACGGCCUUCGGGUUGUAAACCGCUUUCGCCUGUGACGAAGCGUGAGUGACGGUAAUGGGUAAAGAAGCACCGGCUAACUACGUG